CAACGCGAAGAACCUUACCAGGGUCUGGACAUCCUCUGACAAUCCUAGAGAUAGGACGUCCCCUUCGGGGGCAGAGUUACAGGUGGUGCAUGGUUGUCGGUCAGCUCGUGUCGUGAAAUGUUGGGUUAAGUCCCGCAACGAGCGCAACCCUUGAUCUUAGUUGCCAGCAUUCAGUUGGGCACUCUAAGGUGACUGCCGGUGACAAACCGGAGGAAGGUGGGGAUGACGUCAAAUCAUCAUGCCCCUUAUGACCUGGGGUACACACGUGUACAAUGGGCAGAACAAAGGGCAGCGAAACCGCGAGGUUAAGCCAAUCCCACAAAUCUGUUCUCAGUUCGGAUCGCAGUCUGCAACUUGACUGCGUGAAGCUGGAAUCGCUAGUAAUCGCGGAUCAGCAUGCCGCGGUGAAUACGUUCCCGGGCCUUGUACACACCGCCCGUCACACCACGAGAGUUUGUAACACCCGAAGUCGGUGAGGUAACCUUUAAGGAGCCAGCCGCCGUAAGGUGGG
rnacentral:rRNA from 1 species